GGUGGCUCAGUGGUAGAGUGCUUGCCUAGCAUGCAUGAGGCCCUGGGUUCAAUUCCUCAGCACCA
rfam:Dipodomys ordii contig_35184, whole genome shotgun sequence.